AUGGGGGCAAAAAGACAAUAUGGAGAUAACGUAAGAUUAAAUCUGGAGUUAACUUAGUACACAUAAGUGGAAGUUAUAAAGACCAAUGCAGUAGGGAGAACUUUGUUGCAGAUUUGACUCUUGAGUUUUUCAUUGACCCAGACAAAAGAGAAGCACAGGCUAGUGCAGCCUUUCUAGGCUUUGAUGUGAAAAACAAUUAAUGUCAUAGGAGAAGCACAGCUUCCUUUGUUGUCCGCACAAUGGAGCCAUUGCACCUUCUCUCAGGCAGCAUCUUCCAUCACAUGCCUGUAAAAUGAAGGUUGGGGCAUAAAGUGCUCUACUCAGUACUGGCAAGUCUGUGAGGGGUCAGAACACUAGGGCUUAAAUAUGGAGCAUCAGACUGUCUGUUAAUGAAAGGCUAAAUUUAUCGAUAAAUUAUAUGGAGGGAUGAGUCCUUUGAAUUUCCGUGGUAUUUUGCCCCCUAACCAGACUUUUGGGAAGACUUGGCAGUAGAGGAUCGGAGGCUUUGUCCUUCUGUUAAAGGGGAAGAGAAAGAAAGAAGCAAUGGUGUUGAUUAAGGACUGAUCAAUAUGGCGGGCGACAGUGGUUCUCAAACAUGAGAUUGCAGCAUACUCACCAGGAGAACUUGUUAAAACACAGAUUGCAGCCUCCGGCCUCCCCAGCCCAUUUUCUGAUUCAGUGGGUUUGUGGCGGGGCCAAAAAUGUUAACAAAUUCCCAGAUGAUUCUGGUGGUGCAGCUGACCCCGGACCACACUGGAGAACUGCUAACAUGCAACAUUGUUAUUUCUUAGUUGUCCCAAGGGUCUAUACUUGGCUCUGGAUUGUAA